GGUAAACGCUAGCGGCAGGCUUAACACAUGCAAGUCGAGGGGCAGCAUAGAUUGUAGCAAUACAAUUGGUGGCGACCGGCGCACGGGUGCGUAACGCGUAUGCAACCUACCCGUCACAGGGGGAUAAUCCGGAGAAAUCUGGUCUAAUACCCCAUAACAUAUGGAUCGGCAUCGGUUCAUGUUGAAAUUUUCGGAGGUGACGGAUGGGCAUGCGUAGCAUUAGCUUGUUGGUGAGGUAACGGCUCACCAAGGCGACGAUGCUUAGGGGGACUGAGAGGUGUUCCACCACACUGGUACUGAGACACGGACCAGACUCCUACGGGAGGCAGCAGUGAAGAAUAUUGGUCAAUGGGCGCAAGCCUGAACCAGCCAUGCCGCGUGCAGGAUGACGGCUCUAUGAGUUGUAAACUGCUUUUGUACGAGGGUAAAGUGGGUUACGUGUAACCUUUUGAAAGUAUCGUACGAAUAAGGAUCGGCUAACUCCGUGCCAGCCGCCGCGGUAA
rnacentral:rRNA from 1 species